AUUUGACGUUAGCGACAGAAGAAGCACCGGCUAACUCCGUGCCAGCAGCCGCGGUAAUACGGAGGGUGCGAGCGUUAAUCGGAAUUACUGGGCGUAAAGCGCAUGCAGGUGGUUUGUUAAGUCAGAUGUGAAAGCCCGGGGCUCAACCUCGGAAUUGCAUUUGAAACUGGCAGACUAGAGUACUGUAGAGGGGGGUAGAAUUUCAGGUGUAGCGGUGAAAUGCGUAGAGAUCUGAAGGAAUACCGGUGGCGAAGGCGGCCCCCUGGACAGAUACUGACACUCAGAUGCGAAAGCGUGGGGAGCAAACAGGAUUAGAUACCCUGGUAGUCCACGCCGUAAACGAUGUCUACUUGGAGGUUGUGGCCUUGAGCCGUGGCUUUCGGAGCUAACGCGUUAAGUAGACCGCCUGGGGAGUACGGUCGCAAGAUUAAAACUCAAAUGAAUUGACGGGGGCCCGCACAAGCGGUGGAGCAUGUGGUUUAAUUCGAUGCAACGCGAAGAACCUUACCUACUCUUGACAUCCAGAGAACUUUCCAGAGAUGGAUUGGUGCCUUCGGGAACUCUGAGACAGGUGCUGCAUGGCUGUCGUCAGCUCGUGUUGUGAAAUGUUGGGUUAAGUCCCGCAACGAGCGCAACCCUUAUCCUUGUUUGCCAGCGAGUAAUGUCGGGAACUCCAGGGAGACUGCCGGUGAUAAACCGGAGGAAGGUGGGGACGACGUCAAGUCAUCAUGGCCCUUACGAGUAGGGCUACACACGUGCUACAAUGGCGCAUACAGAGGGCGGCCAACUUGCGAAAGUGAGCGAAUCCCAAAAAGUGCGUCGUAGUCCGGAUUGGAGUCUGCAACUCGACUCCAUGAAGUCGGAAUCGCUAGUAAUCGUGGAUCAGAAUGCCACGGUGAAUACGUUCCCGGGCCUUGUACACACCGCCCGUCACACCAUGGGAGUGGGCUGCAAAAGAAGUAGGUAGUUUAACCUUCGGGGGGACGCUUACCACUUUGUGGUUCAUGACUGGGGUGAAGUCGUAACAAGGUAGCGCUAGGGGAACCUGGCGCUGGAUCACC
rnacentral:rRNA from 1 species